UACGGAGGAGGCAAGCGUUAUCCGGAAUUAUUGGGCGUAAAGCGUCCGAAGGUGGUGAUUCAAGUCUGCUGUCAAAGGUCGGGGCUUAACCUCGGGAAGGCAGUGGAAACUGGAUAGCUAGAGUGCGGUAGGGGCAGAGGGAAUUCCCGGUGUAGCGGUGAAAUGCGUAGAGAUCGGGAAGAACACCAGUGGCGAAAGCGUUCUGCUGGGCCUGCACUGACACUGAGGGACGAAAGCUAGGGGAGCGAAAGGG
rnacentral:rRNA from 1 species